rnacentral:rRNA from 1 species
AUUGAACGCUGGCGGCAGGCUUAACACAUGCAAGUCGAGCGGAGAUGAGGUGCUUGCACCUUAUCUUAGCGGCGGACGGGUGAGUAAUGCUUAGGAAUCUGCCUAUUAGUGGGGGACAACAUUCCGAAAGGGAUGCUAAUACCGCAUACGUCCUACGGGAGAAAGCAGGGGAUCUUCGGACCUUGCGCUAAUAGAUGAGCCUAAGUCGGAUUAGCUAGUUGGGGGGGUAAAGGCCUACAAAGGCGACGAUCUGUAGCGGGUCUGGGAGGAUGAUCCGCCACACUGGGACUGAGACACGGCCCAGACUCCUACGGGAGGCAGCAGUGGGGAAUAUUGGACAAUGGGGGGAACCCUGAUCCAGCCAUGCCGCGUGUGUGAAGAAGGCCUUAUGGUUGUAAAGCACUUUAAGCGAGGAGGAGGCUACUGAGACUAAUACUCUUGGAUAGUGGACGUUACUCGCAGAAUAAGCACCGGCUAACUCUGUGCCAGCCGCCGCCGUAACAC